rnacentral:piRNA from 1 species
UGCCAUUAGCACCACACCGCUACC